rnacentral:rRNA from 1 species
UACGGAGGAUCCAAGCGUUAUCCGGAUUUAUUGGGUUUAAAGGGCGCGUAGGCGGAAUGAUAAGUCAGUGGUGAAAGCCUGCAGCUUAACUGUAGAAUUGCCGUUGAUACUGUUGUUCUUGAGUAUAUUUGAUGUGGGCGGAAUGUGUCAUGUAGCGGUGAAAUGCUUAGAUAUGACACAGAACACCGAUGGCGAAGGCAGCUCACAAAACUAUAACUGACGCUGAGGCACGAAAGCGUGGGGAGCAAACAGG